CUCACGGACGGCCCGAGCUUUCCCUCCCCACUACUUGGUGCGCUGCAGUCGGUCACUUACCGCAUACGGGUCCCUGUAAAUGAUAUGCACGCACACAAUCGAUUCUCGCUGGCGCGCGGCGUUCCGCGAUUUCAACUCAUUGCCAGAAUCAGAGCAAUCGAGCAACUCACAAGGGGAGGUUGAGAACUCGUCGUCAUCGAUUUCGGCCAAAUUCACAGUAUAUGUUGGGCUCGACUAGAACUUAAAGUGAGCCAAGUAAAAAGACGAGAUGGCCAAGCGUUUUGCAGAUAUUAUUGUUUAAACAUUUUAUGUGUAGUACACAAGCUUUUUAAGAUUACGUGUGGAACAAAUAAUGGUCAGCGCAGCGGCAAGCGUUCGGAUUCAUAGCAUGAGGCUCGUGGGUUCGAUUCCGUGCACAGAAUCAAUUUUACUGUCUGCCAUUUUCGAAAGAUUUGAUUCUCGCUGGCGCACGGUGUUCCGAUUUUGAUCUUACGCGUCGAUCGAGAAACUGGCAAUUGUGUAGCUUGCGGGGUUGCGAAAAGCGCAUACAGAAAGUAAUCGAAUUAGCACUAGGUGAAUUUUUUUUAUUUCCCAAUUGUUACUGUCAAAAUAAGAACUAAGUAAUACAAUAUUAUCUGCAUCCUUAAUUACAUCAUUCGAAUGAAAAAGUAAUUUUCAAUUUUUUAGUUCUGUCAUUCGAAUAAGAAAUUUAUUUUGAAACUCCUCAAUCUUAAUUUUUGAGUUAAAAACCCGUUUCUGAUUUUUAAUAUUAUGAUUCGAACUCAAAAUUACACAUAUCAUUUUUCACUGAAAAUUUAAUUUCCAGUUUUAAUUCGAAGUUUUGGAACUAAUUAAUUUGCAAUUCUGGUCUCAUAACUCGCAGUUUUCCAAAUCACCCGUGAGGUACUGCGACAGAUUCGUUUCCCUUUAUUUUACAUGGCGGGUUCCUCACGGGUGAUUUGGAAAACUGCGAGUUAUGAGACCAGAAUUGCAAAUUAAUUAGUUCCAAAACUUCGAAUUAAAACUGGAAAUUAAAUUUUCAGUGAAAAAUGAUAUGUGUAAUUUUGAGUUCGAAUCAUAAUAUUAAAAAUCAGAAACGGGUUUUUAACUCAAAAAUUAAGAUUGAGGAGUUUCAAAAUAAAUUUCUUAUUCGAAUGACAGAACUAAAAAAUUGAAAAUUACUUUUUCAUUCGAAUGAUGUAAUUAAGGAUGCAGAUAAUAUUGUAUUACUUAGUUCUUAUUUUGACAGUAACAAUUGGGAAAUAAAAAAAAUUCACCUAGUGCUAA